rnacentral:rRNA from 1 species
AACGUCGGCGAGUUUGAUCCUGGCUCAGGACGAACGCUGGCGGCGCGCUUAAUGCAUGCAAGUCGAACGAUUCUCUUGGCUUCGGCCCUGAGAAGAGUGGCAGACGGCUGAGUAACACGUGAGUAACCUGCCCUGGUAUGGGGAACAACCCGGGGAAACUCGGGCUAAUACCGCAUACGUCCGGUGGCCAUAAGGCUGCCGGGGAAAGGCCUUCGGGUCGUACCAGGAGGGGCUCGCGACCUAUCAGGUAGUUGGCGGGGUAAAGGCCCACCAAGCCUCAGACGGGUAGCCGGUGUGAGAGCAUGACCGGCCAGACGGGGACUGAGACACGGCCCCGACUCCUACGGGAGGCAGCAGCAGGGAAUCUUGCGCAAUGGGCGAAAGCCUGACGCAGCGACGCCGCGUGGGGGAUGAAGGCCUGAGGGUCGUAAACCCCUUUUGUCGGGGAAGAGGAAGGACGGUACCCGGCGAAUAAGCCCCGGCUAACUACGUGCCAGCAGCCGCGGUAAUACGUAGGGGGCAAGCGUUGUCCGGAUUUACUGGGCGUAAAGAGCGCGUAGGCGGCCGAGUUUGUCUGCCGUGAAAUCUCCCUGCUCAACGGGGAGGGGCCGGUGGAGUACGGCUCGGCUUGAGGACAGUAGAGGCGAGUGGAAUUCCCGGAGGAGCGGUGAAAUGCGUAGAGUUCGGGAGGAACACCAGAGGCGAAAGCGGCUCGCUGGGCUGGUCCUGACGCUGAGGCGCGAAAGCGUGGGUAGCAAACCGGAUUAGAUACCCGGGUAGUCCACGCCCUAAACGAUGCGCACUGGAUCUGGGGGGUAUCGACCCCCCCCGGGUCGGAGCUUACGCGUUAAGUGCGCCGCCUGGGAAGUACGGCCGCAAGGCUAAAACUCAAAGGAAUUGACGGGGGCCCGCACAAGCAGCGGAGCGUGUGGUUUAAUUCGAU